rnacentral:lncRNA from 1 species
GCGUUUUUCUAUUUUAUUUUUCCCACUCAUAGCUUAAAUAGUUGAUUAAAUUCUAUUCGAUCUCAAUGCUUAAUUUAAACCCUACACUUCCACUAAAAUCCCAACUAGCUAUCAAAGAUUCAAAGGGUUUAUCAUAAUUCGUAAAUCACAAUAUCAUCAAAAAUCAGCAUUUGUGAAUUUGAUCUUGCUGACGUGAUUGUACACCAGUUACUCACAUCAACAGAGAUUAAGGUUUCGUUCGUUUUAUGUCGACCUCCGGAAGGCUCCCACGAAAGCGAAACUAAAAGUCUACGUCGAGACACGAGUCAACUUUUCAAAUCACGGCCGAUUGCGGUCUGCCAAAUCGUCAAUUGGGGUGGCAGACCGUCGAUCGAUCUUCCCUCUGAACCCGUCGAUUUCACCCUCAACUCGCGACGGUUACACUUCUCAAAUCGCCGAUUUCAACCAUUACUCGCGUCCAGCUCGAGCCAUAAUGGUCGUCGUACACUACAAGAAAACAAAACUUUAAAGACGGGUUUAGCGACGGAUUCUGACCGUCUCUAAAUCUGAAGAAGGAUUUCGUGGAAAUUCCACGAUGCUAAAGAUGGCUUGCAGUUAGGUUGACGACGGUUUCUCCGAUGAAUCGUCGACGGCCUUGACAUUUAGAGACGACUUUUUAGUAAGCCGUCCUUAUAUAUUUCGAGGUUUUUUUG